rnacentral:rRNA from 1 species
AGCGAACGCUGGCGGCAGGCCUAACACAUGCAAGUCGAACGAACCUUUCGGGGUUAGUGGCGGAGGGGUGAGUAACACGUGGGAACGUGCCUUUAGGUUCGGAAUAACUCAGGGAAACUUGUGCUAAUACCGAAUGUGCCCUUCGGGGGAAAGAUUUAUCGCCUUUAGAGCGGCCCGCGUCUGAUUAGCUAGUUGGUGGAGGUAAUGGCUCACCAAGGCGACGAUCAGUAGCUGGUCUGAGAGGCUGAUCAGCCACAUUGGGACUGAGACACGGCCCAAACUCCUACGGGAGGCAGCAGUGGGGAAUCUUUCGCAAUGGGCGAAAGCCUGACGCAACCAAGCCGCGUGAAGGAUGAAAGUCUUAGGAUUGUAAAAUUCUUUCACCGGGGACGAUAAUUACGGUAACCGGAAAAGAAGCCCCGGCUAACUUCGUG